rnacentral:tRNA from 1 species
GGGGCCUUUACUGUCGGGCUUCUGCGUUCGGGACGCAGAGGUCGCUAGUUCGAAUCUAGUCGCCCCG